rnacentral:misc_RNA from 1 species
GAUGAAGAACGCAGCGAAAUGCGAUACUUGGUGUGAAUUGCAGAAUCCCGUGAACCAUCGAGUCUUUGAACGCAAGUUGCGCCCGAAGCCACUAGGCCGAGGGCACGCCUGCCUGGGCGUCACACGCCGUUGCCCACCCAUCUACUCCUUCGGGAUUGCGGGGGGGCGGAUGAUGGCCUCCCGUGCGCCUAGCCGCGCGGUUGGCAUAAAUACCAAGUCCUCGGCGACGCACGCCACGACAAUCGGUGGUUGCGAAACCUCGGUUGCCCGUCGUGUGCGUUCCUCGCGCAUCGAGGGCUCGAAAAAAUGCUCGGCUCCGGCUGGGCUUUCAACGCGACCCCAGGUCAGGCGGGGUUACCCGCUGAAUUUAAGCAUAUCAAUAAGCGGAGGA